AUGAUAAUAUAGGUGAAAUAUUUACUACACAACAAACAUAAGAUAAAAAAAACUAAAGAAUGGCACAAAAGAAACCAAUGGCUGUGCUGUGUAGGCAGUUCAGGAGGAGAGUCAAAGGCUUUUUCUAAAAAUGAUUUUUGAUUAGGCCUAAUCCAAAAAUGCACUCCUGCGUGCAGACUAUCCUAAAGCUUUUGUUCUGUUCAGUUCAGUUUGAGAAGGAGAGCUCAAAGAUGACGAGGACCAGAGGUCAACUUUGAUUGCUUGCUACUACUAUAAUUUAUUUUAUUAAAAACAAUGUUACUUUUCCAUUCUGAAAGCGUAUUGAGUUAUUGGCCUCACAAUCAGCCAGAUUCGAUUGUGGUGACUGAAACUUGAAACAGCAACCGUGGCACAAUCAAUUGGAAAUUGACAGCUAAUGGUGCUGAAAGUAGGCAAAUUUGAGUAGGCAUAAUUAAUUUGACUUUACUAACAACAAGAGGGCUUUGUGUUGGAGCCUAUUUAUUCAUAUUUAAGAAAUAAGUGGUAGGCCUACCUGUUUGGCAGAUUAAAUUAGGCAAUAGGCUGCUAAUAUAGAUAUAUUUGUCAGUCAAUUCCAUGUCAGUGAAGGGGAUAUGAGGGUAUGCCAUAGCCCUACUUUUUAUGAAAGAAAAUGGCAAAAAGCACAAGCUUACCUCUUGUUAGUUUAAUAUUUUAAAACUGAUCUGAUUAUAUAACGUGAUAUAUUAGAGCGCUUUGGUCCUUGAUGCUUUACAAUAUGCAUUGUCUCGUGUCUUUGACAUUCAGAGGCUGAGACACAACCUUCUAUAGCCAAGGACCCAAAAAAUAUACUUUGCUUGGGAAGUAAUUCUAAUUCUCUCUAUCAAUUGAUUAGGCGAUUCACUUUCUGUACAAUAAAUGUUUAAACCCAGACAACUUUUAGGGAAACCGUUGUGACCAUCUCUCGUUGGGUUAAGCCACAGAAAAGGGCUAUUUUUUUCUCAGACCUGCAAAUACGAUGAUAGAUUCAUGCAAUGCUUUUACUAUAAAGGAGAUCUUUCCCCCCCUACUCUCUUCCACGGUGGUCUAUGAACCCACAACCUUCUGGCCAGCAGCUCUUGUGGGCUAUCAAAAUUCCUGCAUUGCCAUGUAAUGCUUACAGGAAGAAGAACACUUUCUAAAACUGUUUCUAGAAGGCUCUGGUCUUUCCAAGAUGUGAGGAUAAAUGGUAUAGACAUGUUCUCCGCUAUCCACUUUGUUUAAAUUAUUAUUAUUAUUUGGGGUAUAAGGGUGAUUCACUUUUUUUCAAGCAUUCAGGGAGGGUUGAAUUGAAAUGUAACUGAUGAACUGUCCAUAUUCAUUUUAGAAAGAUCCCAUUUUCUCAAUGUAACCCUUACUACAAAAUAAUGUUCACCACCUAAACUGGAACAGUUUCAGUAACGGGUGAAAUAAGUUCAACUAAGAUAUUGGGUUAGUAUGUAUGUUAUGUAUCUUUGUGUAGCACAAGAUAAAUUAAUUGAUUAAUUAAAACAAUCAAUGUACAUGCAAAAACACAGAUAUUGAAACAAACUAUUCUAGAAAAUCAAACUGCAAUAUAGCAUGCUGGGAAAUAUGAUAAUGAUGACCAUAGUUUAGCAGACCAGCUUGUCCAGCUAGACCAUGCUGGACCAGCAUACACUCCCAAGAAGAAGAAAAAGGUUAUUUGCCAGGGCUUAGGGUAAUUUUAUUUUUCAUAUUAAGAAUUCCCUAUCCACAGUGUUUUCCUUUUAUGCCAUGAAAUGCUACACUGUUGCAAAGUUCCUUUAAUUGCAUGGUACACUAUAGGCUACUGAUUGCAGUGAAAGGAAGGUAAACAACAAGUUACUGAAUUUCUACAGCUGAAUGAAGGUGUUAAUGCUGUAAAAGGACAGUAUGCUGGCUACCUAAGACUAUACCUCACUUGAGAUUUGAACUCAAACUCUUUGUUGCUAAUGACCUGAACUUCCUGCUACACCACCAGCUCUAUGUGCAUGACAGAGCUUGGCCACAGAUUUAAAUGGCAAGAACACAGUUCUGUACACUGCUAGAAGCUGCCCAGAAUCAAGUCAAUAAUUUCAUAAUUAUCUGACAACACCAAUGUGAAAAUGUCAGUACUCAGGGACACUUAAUGUAAUGUGUCCAUAAAUGCUUUGGGGAUUUGAACUUAGAGGCCUUUAGGUAGAAGUGCAUUAAUGUUUCAGCAGUGCCACCAGGUACAUCUUUGGUACCAAGAUGUACCUUGAUGUACAUUCAGAAAGUAUUCACACCCCUUGACCUUUUCUCCAUUUUGUACAGCCUGCAUUUUAAAUGGAUUACAUUGUGAUUUCUUUUGUGACUGGCCUAACACAAUGCACCAUAAUGUCAAAGUGGAAUUAUGUUUUUACGUUUUUUUACAAAUUCAUUACAAAUUAAAAGCUGAAAUGUUUUAAGUCAAUAAGUAAAUCAACCCCUUUGUUAUGGCAAGCCAAAAUAAGUUUGGGAGUAAAGAUUUGCUUAACAAGUCACAUAAUAAGAUCCAUGGACUCACUCUGUGUGCAUUGUGUUUAACAUGAUUUUUGAAUGACUACCUCAUCUCUGAAACAUACCAGUGGUCUGGGGCGGCAGGUAUCCUAGUGGUUAGAGCAUUGGAUUUGUAACAGAAAGGUUGCAAAUCCCCAAGCUGACAAGGUAAAAAUCUGUCAUUCUUCUCAUGAGCAAGGCAGUUAACCCACUGUUCCUAGGCCGUCAUUGAAAAUUAGAAUUUGUUCUUAACUGACUUGCCAAGUAAAAUAUAUUUGGGGGCAUGGUCUAAUAUGUGUUUUUGUGCCAACCAUCAGUGGAAGUGUUGUACCAGUUUAAGUGGUUGAUGGUUUUAACACUGUCACACCUAGGGCUGUUAUGGUGACCAUAUUACCGCCACACUGUCACUCAUGAGUCAUGACCGGAUUAAAACUCCAUGUCACUGAGUCACGGUAAUCUCUUAUGGUAGUACCCAACUUGCUAAUGACCAUCAGGUCACUAAUGGCCUGUUACUAUUGUCCCGCUAACCAUUCUGACAUCAAUUCAAAUCCAAUCGAAAAUCACAUCAAACACUGAUCAUCAAAACAGUAUCAUGCAUUUAGAACUCACCUCACUGUGAUUAAUCAGUCUGAAGAAAGAAGUUCAACAGGUUUAAACUUAAUGGAAAACAUGGUCAUGGUCACAGCACUUUCUAAAGGUGAUGAUUAAUUCAAAACAUCCAAAUGCAUAUUAGAGUUUAUGCAAAGGCUUGGCCUAAAUAUGAGCUCAAGCCCGAAAAAAAACCCUGAGUUAAAAUAAUGAUUGUGCCAUUAUAGAAUACAUAGCCUACCGCACAUUAAGCAUGGCAGAAAUACAUAAAUAUGUACAUAAUUGGUCUAGCCGAUACCCCAAAAUUAAACAUAUUCUAGUAAUUGCUUUUGGAGUGUGGACUGUAUUAAUAUGCAUACUGGAUGGACUUGUUACCUCAUGCUACGCUCCAAACUUUCUAUACAUGAGUUGGGGAGAGAACAUAGGCGAUACUGUUGUUUUAUUGAUAGUACAGGGUGGCUUACAGAGUUACAGUGUCUUCAGAAAAUAUUCACACCCCUUGAUUUUUUCAAAAAAAAAAAUGUUUGUCUGAAUUUAAAAUAGAGUCAAAUGAGAUUUGUUUUGGUACUGGCCUACAGACAAUACUCCAUACUGUCAAGGUGGAAUUAUGUUUCGACAUUUUUACAAAUUAAUAAAAAAUGUAAAGCUGAAAUGUCUUGAGUCAAUAAGCAUUCAACCCCUUUGUUAUGGCAAUCCUAAAUACGUUCAGGAGUAAAAAUUUGCUUCAGUAACAUAAGUUUCAUGGACUGACUCUGUGUGCAAUACUAGUGUUUAAGAUGGUUUUUGAAUGACUACCUCAUCUCUAUACCCGACACAUACAGAUAAUUGUAAGGUCCCUCAGUCCAGCAGUGAAUUUCAAACAGAUUCAGCCACAAAGACCGAGGUUUUCCUUACCAAGAAGACAGUGAAUAUUUGAGUGGCCGAGUUAGUUUUGACUUAAAUCUGCUUGAAAAUAUAUGGGAAGACCUGAAAAUGGUUGCCUAGCAAUGAUCAACAACCAAUUUGACAUACCUUGAAGAAUUUUGAAAAUAAUAAUUGGCCAAAUGUUGCACAUGAGACAUACCCAGAAAGACUCGAGAUACCGUAUAUAUAUAUAUAUAUAUAUAUAAAUAUAUAUAAAUGUUUAUAUAAAAAAUGUUUUUUUAUAUUUCUAAUGUUGACAGAGUAUUUUGUGAAGAUCGUUGGCAAUUUUUUUUUACAAUUAAGUCCUUCUGAAUCCCACUUUGUAACAAAAUGUGGAGAAAGUCAAGGGGUGUGAAUACUUUCUGCAGGCAUAGUAGCCAAUAAUUUGGGACAUUUUGAAACAAAUUUUCUUCAUGUCAUAAUGUUUCUUCAGAGCUGUCUAAAAUACAAUAGAUUUAUUGUGAUGGUGCAUAUUAAAAUAAUUUAUUAGACUUUAAAUGUAGAUGUUCCAAAGGCGAGCAUCAGCAACUUGUAUGAGUGGAGGCCUGGAGAUGCUAAACAUGUUUGUUACUUAACCGUCAAUUACUGUGAGACUGGCAGUCUUUCGCAUGACAAUAACCGGCUGACAAAAUUUCAUGACCACUACAACCAUAGUCACAUGAACAGAUCCAGUAUUGUAGCAGGAAAUUCAGGUUGCUGGCAACUGAGAGGUUGUGAGUUCAAAUCCCAAGUGAGGUUGACACCAAAGUAAUCAGUAAUUUUACUGGUUGGCAAAACCACGCCCAUCAGUAUCAUAUUUCCCAGCAUUGCAGUUAGAUUUUAAGAAUAGUUGUUUUCAAUAUCUGUGUUGCAUGUACAUUGAUUGGUUAAGGAAUACAUUAAUGAAUGUUUUGCUACACAAAGAUAAAUAACUAAAUUAAUCCAAUCUUUUAGUUGGACUUAUUGCACCCGUGACUGAAAUGGUUGUUCAAGUUUAGUCUAAUUUUGUUUAUCUUUUUGACACUGGCAGUCAUUCUGAAUCCACUCUGGAUGGAUUCCAAUAGGAAUUAAACAUCACUUUGCAAGCCAGCAUAAUGUAACUUCUUGCUGGUCACCAGAGCCUGCAGGUAGGGAGGGGAAGUUCCUCAUUGUUCAGCAGGUGAGCACCAUGGUUUUGUAGUGGAUGUGAGCUUCAACUGGAAGCUAGUGGAGUGUGCGGAGGAGCGGGUGACAUGAGGGAACUUGGGAAGGUUUAAAACCAUGCGGGCUGCAGCAUUCUGAAUAAGUUUAUAGCACAAGUGGGGAGCCCAGCAAACAGCGAGUUGCAGCAGUCCAGACGGGAAAGGACAAGAGCCUGGAUUAGGACCUGCACUGCUUCCUGUGUGAGGUAUGAAUGUUGUAGAGCAUGAACCUGCAGGAGCGGGUCACUGCUUUGAUGUUUGCAGAGAACAACAGGGUUAUGCCAAGGUUCUUUGCACUCUGAGAGGGUUACACUGUGGCGUUGUCAACCGUGAUGGAGAGGUCUUUGAGCAGGCAGGCCUUUUCUGGGAGGAAGAGCAGUUCUGUCUUGACGAGUUAGAGCUUGAGGUGGUGGGCCGACAUCGAAGUUGAGAUGUUUGGUCAUGGAUUUAACAAUGGUGGAAACUCCCUCCAGCUAAUGCCAACACCAAUUUAAUUAUUCGAAAUCUAUGCCUGGGAGAUUGGAAAGGCACACUUCUGGAGAAAGGGGGAGAAUCGGAACAAAUAAGGGAUGAUUUUUGAGGGGAGGCAUAAGCUGAACAGAGAAGUGUGUCCACCUCUUUGCGCACAUGCAUGGCCUAUCAUUUUUUUACCACAAGCUAUACUUAAAGUGUAAAAUAUCAUGGCAUUGCAACCAGGGCCACCAUUUGUCACAUUUUCAUGACAGAAAUAUGUCCCGGGUUCACAUCCCAGGUAAACACAUGUCAUGUAAAAACUAUGCAAGGGAAGUGCUGUUGGUCAUUACGGAGGUCUGGUAAACAAAGAAAAAAUCCAAUGCCUGUAACGGAAAUUCUAAUUUUCUCAACAACGCUUGAACGGGAAAGCGCAGCAAGAAGGCCUUCCUAUAAAUAUUCCAUGGUGUUUCAUUGUCUGAUGAAAAGUGUUUGAACUUUGAACAAUGGAACCUAUGGAGGAGGAAGAAGGCAUAUGUCUUAGAUGAUGAAAUAUAGAAGUAAGAAAUAUUUACACAUUAUAUAAUGAAAUUAUAAGCCUUCUAUCUGUAAUACAGUAUCUAUGGUAUGUGCUCGUCCACAUAUGGAUGGUGUUUCCUCUUAUAGAUAUCACAGUACUGAAAAAAGUGCCAAACUUUAAAUUUAUGUGUACAAUAUGUAGAGAUUACGAUUAAAAUGUGACUGAUUUUGAGGUUUUUCUUGUUUGAAAAAAAAAUACAGAUACAAUUUUAAAAAAUGUCAGCGCUUUUCAAUAAGCUUCAUAGUGCUUUACAUUGCAUGGGAGUAACGCACCCCACCUGCUACCAUUGUGUACAGUAGCACACCAACCUGGAUGAUGCACAGCAUCCAUUUUAUGCCAGAUAAGCUCACCACACAUUGGCUCUCACAGUGAAAGAGGUGAAUGUCACAGGUAUCAAGUCCCCAUACAUGGAGUACUAGUAUUGUUACUGUAACAUUUUGGUUUUAGAUGAUACUUUAUUUAGUCACAUAAUUUCACCCAGUUGUCGUCCCUCAAGCCAAAUAACCUCUUUCUCCAUGGCAGAAAACUCUUAGCAACAUUUACUGUAACGUAUUUUCUUCCUAUAGACACUACUUGUAAUUGAUUUGCUCGAGUUCAGCAUCACAAUACGUAAAUAAAGAUUUGUAACAACUGU
ensembl:lncRNA